UGACGGAGAAACUGGGUUGGGCCGUGAGCACUGGUCAACCGUGACCCUGUCAGGGUCUCACCGCCGGGUCCCGGGGGUCCAGCCAGCUGCCAUCAGGGGUGGCAGAGCCUAAAGAAACAGCGGAGGCUACCCAGGACUGGAGACAGAAGAGGAGGGACAGACAGAGGAAAAGGCCGUGUGAAGAUGGAGGCCGAGAUGCCUCUCACUGUUAUGGCCUCAGCCACUCCGCGGCAUGUGGGAUCUUCCCGGACCAGGGCACAAACCCGUGUCCCCUGCAUCGGCAGGCGGACUCUCAACCACUGCGCCACCAGGGAAGCCCCCUGCAUAAGGUUUUCAACGUUGGUUCUCGGCACAGCAGGUAUCAGUAACUAGAUACCUUGUUAUAUAGCUGGAUAUAUAUUGUGGUCCAGCCAUACA